UACGAAGGGGGCAAGCGUUGCUCGGAAUCACUGGGCGUAAAGGGCGCGUAGGCGGGCGUCUAAGUCAGGGGUGAAAUCCCGAGGCUCAACCUCGGAAUUGCCUUUGAUACUGGAUGUCUCGAGACCGGAAGAGGUGAGUGGAACUGCGAGUGUAGAGGUGAAAUUCGUAGAUAUUCGCAAGAACACCAGUGGUGAAGGCGGCUCACUGGUCCGGUUCUGACGCUGAGGCGCGAAAGCGUGGGGAGCGAACAGG
rnacentral:rRNA from 1 species